GAGCUUCAGUUGCUUCAGUUGCAGCGGCAGCAGCGGCAGCAGCGGCAGCAGCAGCAGCAGCAGCAAAAGCAGCAAUAGCAGCGACUUUGUGGAGUCCCUCUUGCUCCUACUCUCCCUCUCCCGCUGUCCCGCAGCCUCUCCCGCUCUCCCGUUCCCGCUGUCCCCUCCUCUCCCGGUCUCUCUCGCCCCAUGCCCGGCCGGGCCAUGCCCCCGGCCCGCCCCCGGCCCCGGGCGGGGCUGCCCCGUCCCUGUCCCUGUCCCUGUCCCCGUCCCCGUCCCCGGCCGUCCCGCCGCGGUCUCGCCCCCGCCCGGCUCUGGCCGUGCUGGCGCUGGCGCUGCUGGGCGGGCAUCAGUGCCUGGGGUUGGGGCGGCAUCGCCGCCCUUUGGCUCCGCCUGGCCCGAGCCCGGCCCCGGCCCCGACGUGGGCUCCAGUCCCGGCCCCGGCCCCGGCUCCUCCCGGGCCCCGCGGAGGACACAGGCGGCGCGGCCGCUGCCGCCGCCUCCGCUGCGGCUUCCCCGGCCCGAGCUCCGCCGCUCGGCAGCGCGGCCGCCGGCCCCGAGCCGCCGCUGUCCCGUUGCCAGCAGAGAAGGCCUGGGGAUGGCCGGCCCGGGGCGCUCGGGGGGCGCUCGGGGGCCGCUCCUGGCCCCGGGCCGAGCGCUGACAGCCGCGUCCCGCCCGCAGGGAAGGCGCAGGAGGCCCUGCAGGAGCGGUACCGGCUGGGUUCGCUGCUGGGCAGCGGCGGCUUCGGCAGCGUCUUCGCGGCCACGCGGCUCUCGGACGGCGCCCCGGUGGCCAUCAAAAGGGUGCCGCAGGAUCGCAUCCGGCACUGGGGCGAGCUGCCCGACGGCACCAGCGCACCCCUGGAGAUCGUGCUGCUGGCCAAGGUGGCCUCUGGCUGCGCUGGUGUCAUUCAGCUCCUGGAGUGGCUCGAGCUCCCCGACAGCUUCUUGCUGGUGCUGGAGCGCCCGGAGCGGUGCCAGGACCUGUCGGGUUUCCUGGCGGAGCGGAGGUUCCUGCCGGAGGAGGAGGCGCGGGGGCUGUUCCGCCAGGUGCUGGAGGCCGUGCGGCACUGCACCAGCUGCGGGGUCCUGCACAGGGACAUCAAGCCCCAGAACAUCCUGCUCGACCUGGCCACCGGGCAGCUGAAACUGAUCGACUUUGGCUGUGGCGCCUUCCUCCAAGACACAGCCUACACCCAGUUUGCAGGAACCCUGUCCUACAGCCCACCAGAGUGGAUCCACCACCGACGCUACCACGGCGAGGCAGCGACCAUCUGGUCCCUGGGCCUCCUGCUGUGCCACCUGGUCAUGGGCAAGCACCCGUUCAGGAGGGGCCAGGAGAUCAUCCGGGGGCGGAUCUUGUUCCCACGACGGCUCUCUCAAGGGAAGGAGAAGGAGCCCCUGGAGAAGCUGCACCAGGUGGGGCUGCUGCUGCUGGAGACACCAAGGACAACCUCAAGGAUGACAAUCUCUUCCUCGGCCUGGCCAGCUGAAGAUGAUGGACUUGGAUUCUGGCACCUUCUCCAAAGCCAGGCUCCACAGGGAAUUUGCAGAUGAGUCCACACGCAGGGGGAUGCUCCCAGAUUUGGGCAUUGCACAGCCUGGCCGGGAACCAAAGGUUCCCCCUUUGCUGGGGCGGAUGCAGCUGAUCCUUCAGUCGGCUGCCAGGCUGCUUUUGGCAGGGCUGGGGGCAUGGGCUGGGGUGGGUACGAAAUGGGAGUGGGCUCCUGGCCCUGCCAACAGCCCCCAGCACCCACCGUGCCCCGGGCUGGGGCUGGGGCUGGGGCAGCCAGCCCGACACAAACCAACCCCCAUGGUGGGAGCAGAGGUGGGACUCCAGAACCUGUGCGGGGGCUGCUUUGCUUUGCAGGCAAGGAAGGGCUUGGGCUGCUCCACUGCCCCUGUUUGCUUUGAGAUCACCGUUAUUUUGGGGGGCAGUGCAGGGGGAAGGGAGAAAGCCUGGGCUUCCCUCACCCGUGGGUGGGGUUUUCCCUGGAAUGCAGGGGUUGGGCCUUCCUCAAGCCCCUGACAGAGAUAAGAUUUUUGACCUUUUUCUUGUUCCCCUUUUUGUCUCUAAUCUAUUUUCAAACAUUCGUUGUGUGUUUUUCUAGAGGAAGCGUUCCAGGUGGGGUCCAGUCUGGAUGGGGAAGUGCUUGGGAGCAGCUGCGGCGUGGAUGGGCCGUGCCCUUGGAGAAGGCUGAGGACAUCGUUUGGGACCAGCUUUUCUUCCAGCGGUGGAUGGCGUCAGCCGGGCUCUGCGGGUGCUGAGGCUGCUCUGGGCUCUGCCAGGGCUCUGCUGGAGCUCAGCACCGGGCCAGAAUCAGCCAAAGAAGAAAUGGUGUGCCCUGCAGCACAGCCUUGCUUGAGCAUUUCAGCAACACAGCUCAAGUCGGCAGAGUGUACACCUCCAAAGGAAAAGAUGCCACCACCCAAAAA